AACAUUUGAUUUUCUAUAAUCUAUACACAUUCUCCACCCUGUUUGCUUUCGUGUGGGCACCAACUCAUUAUCAUCAUUCUUGUCAACGGUGAUUCCAGAUUUCUUUGGGACUACCUGCACUGGACUCACCCAUUGACUAUCGGAGAUGGGAUAGAUGAUACCGGCAUCAAGCAGUUUGAGCACUUCUUUUUUCACCACCUCCAUCAUAGGUGGAUUCAAUCUCCUUUGCGCAUCUCUUGUAGGCUUAGCUCCAUCCUCUAAUAAUAUCCGAUG
rnacentral:lncRNA from 1 species